rnacentral:rRNA from 1 species
GCUCCUGAUGUUAGCGGCGGACGGGUGAGUAACACGUGGGUAACCUGCCUGUAAGACUGGGAUAACUCCGGGAAACCGGGGCUAAUACCGGAUGCUUGUUUGAACCGCAUGGUUCAAACAUAAAAGGUGGCUUCGGCUACCACUUACAGAUGGACCCGCGGCGCAUUAGCUAGUUGGUGAGGUAACGGCUCACCAAGGCGACGAUGCGUAGCCGACCUGAGAGGGUGAUCGGCCACACUGGGACUGAGACACGGCCCAGACUCCUACGGGAGGCAGCAGUAGGGAAUCUUCCGCAAUGGACGAAAGUCUGACGGAGCAACGCCGCGUGAGUGAUGAAGGUUUUCGGAUCGUAAAGCUCUGUUGUUAGGGAAGAACAAGUGCCGUUCAAAUAGGGCGGCACCUUGACGGUACCUAACCAGA